UCCAUUGAUUCUGUAUUCCUACCUGCAUAAGAUUACUCCAUUAGAUUGACAGGCUUAACCUUCAUUUCUUUCUGCUGCAGGUUUGUCAAGUUUGGAAUUCUGCACAAAAUUGCAUUGGCCGCCGGUUGAUUUUAAUAACAGGUGCUUGGCUUGUAUCUUGAUGAGGCUGAAGCACAAUAGUCAGUUUAAGAAUUUAAUCGUCUUGAAAUGACUCCGGUGGGUCUUAGCAUGACGGUAACCGUACAUAUAUAAUCCUGUACUUCCAAACUCCUUUGCUUUGUCAAUGAGACCAGCUCUUCCAAAGAGAUGGUCCAUACAAGAAUAGUGCUUAAUCCUUGAAUUUAUUUGCGUAGACUUCUAUCAUUUGUCUAAAUAGCAAUUGCCCUUGUGUUACAAGACCGGAAUGAAUACAAGCUGUAGGUUUGAGGCCUGUUUAGAACCGCUACCAUUGUUACAUGAUCUGGCUUAAUAUUAUUAUUGAACUGAUGCACAAUUUGUUUUGUUUGCUUGGAAACCAAAUCCUGCAGGUUUGAGGCCUGUUUAGAACCGCUACCAUUGUUACAUGAUCUGGCUUAAUAUUAUUAUUGAACUGAUGUAGAAUUUGUUUUGUUUGCUUGGAAACCAAAUCCUGCAGGUUUGAGGUAUGUGAAAUGACCGGAUUGCAGAUUGGUUCAGGUUGGAGAGGCUAUUGGUUGAAUUGAAUAUGAAUUCUGUUAGAAACUCAGUUGGAAAAAACCGGUUAUCAAUUAUUGAAUAUUGGAUCAAUAUUGAAGGUUGAUUGUAAGGUCAUUAUGAGUGCUUUGGAGAUUAAAAAAAAUAUCUGUUAUAGUGAAGAAGUCAUUUUGCUUUUAUUCCUGUUGUGGAAUUUUUUUUAUAUAUCCUUUUAAUUCCAACCAAUUAUUGUAAUGUAUUAGUCAUUAGGAUGUAAUAAGUUGUAAUAGUAUUUAGCUUAUGUAAAAUGAUUCACACAAUGCCAAAUCUCAUGUAAUGCAAUGCAUAUGGACAUGUUUAUGGGAUCAUGCUUGGUUAUUAUUUUUUUGA